CAGCCGCCGCGGUAAUACGUAGGUGGCAAGCGUUGUCCGGAAUUAUUGGGCGUAAAGGGCUCGCAGGCGGUUUCUUAAGUCUGAUGUGAAAGCCCCCGGCUCAACCGGGGAGGGUCAUUGGAAACUGGGAAACUUGAGUGCAGAAGAGGAGAGUGGAAUUCCACGUGUAGCGGUGAAAUGCGUAGAGAUGUGGAGGAACACCAGUGGCGAAGGCGACUCUCUGGUCUGUAACUGACGCUGAGGAGCGAAAGCGUGGGGAGCGAACAGGAUUAGAUACCCGUGUAGUCCCUGUCUCUUAUAC
rnacentral:rRNA from 1 species